CCGACCUUAGCUCAGUUGGUAGAGCGGAGGACUGUAGAUCCUUAGGUCGCUGGAUCGAAUCCGGCAGGUCGGA
rnacentral:tRNA from 1 species